rnacentral:rRNA from 1 species
GAGUUUGAUCAUGGCUCGGAGCGAACGCUGGCGGCAGGCCUAACACAUGCAAGUCGAACGAACUCUUCGGAGUUAGUGGCGGACGGGUGAGUAACACGUGGGAACGUGCCUUUUGGUUCGGAAUAACUCAGGGAAACUUGUGCUAAUACCGAAUGUGCCCUUCGGGGAAGAUUUAUCGCCAUUAGAGCGGCCCGCGUCUGAUUAGCUAGUUGGUGAGGUAAAGGCUCACCAAGGCGACGAUCAGUAGCUGGUCUGAGAGGAUGAUCAGCCACAUUGGGACUGAGACACGGCCCAAACUCCUACGGGAGGCAGCAGUGGGGAAUCUUGCGCAAUGGGCGAAAGCCUGACGCAGCCAUGCCGCGCGAAUGAUGAAGGUCUUAGGAUUGUAAAAUUCUUUCACCGGGGACGAUAAUGACGGUACCCGGAGAAGAAGCCCCGGCUAACUUCGUGCCAGCCGCCGCGGUAAC